CCGGUUUCUCCUGGAUCAGCCAAGCCUCUCGCCAGUUCUCUCCUUGGAUCGCCGGUUCUCUCUUCUCUUUUUGGGGUUUGUCUCUCACGAUUUUGGCAGAGGUUCCCCUUAAGAAUUUUGUGUCAAAUUCUGGAUCCAGGGCUCUGUAUUUAUAGAGAGAGGGAGUCGGAACUGCCAUGGGCCCGAAGGGGUGGGAGUUGUAACCAAAAAGAUGUCUCUCUCUCCCUUGCAACCGUUCGGCAAUAACUGCCCUCAACCGGUCCUCAACUGCCUCCAACUGCUCAUGUCCCUGUCGGUUCUCUACCCUGAAGCCAAGGCUAAGCCCUUUAACUGACCGUCCAUACCGUGGCCGCACCAUCUAACCAAACCACCAUAACCGUCCUUGUAACCGCCCCAACCGUCCCGGACAUGAGCACUCGGCCCAGCUGAGUUGAGCUGACUGCUAGCUGGUCCCAGCUGAGUGAGCUAGUCCUUCUAGCUCCAUGAGCUGAUGCAUACUAACUGAGCCCCCAUUGAGCUUCCCUGAGCUGCCCAAGCUCGGCC
rnacentral:lncRNA from 1 species